AUACGGAGGGUGCGAGCGUUAAUCGGAAUUACUGGGCGUAAAGCGUGCGUAGGCGGUUUGCUAAGUCAGAUGUGGAAGCCCCGGGCUUAACCUGGGAACUGCAUUUGAUACUGGCAGACUAGAGUAUGAUAGAGGGGGGUAGAAUUCCUGGUGUAGCGGUGAAAUGCGUAGAUAUCAGGAGGAAUACCAGUGGCGAAGGCGGCCCCCUGGAUCAAUACUGACGCUGAGGUACGAAAGCGUGGGGAGCGAACAGGAUUAGAAACCCUAGUAGUCC
rnacentral:rRNA from 1 species